AAAGAAGAUGCUCAAGCUCAGUGAAGAGCGAUACUGUAAAGACACAGACACGCUCACCACCACCACAGACAGUUGCCCGCUGAGAUAGCAGAAUUAUGAUUAUGAAUCAUGUACCUCCUCACCGUGCUUUACCACGAGUCCUGGAAAACCGAGGCGUGAGAGCAGGAAAAGACAUGUGCGGAUAUGGAGGAGUACGAGUGGGAAGACGUUCUGGAAGCUCUCCUGCGCAUGCGACCGCUUGGAGCGAGGGCUGAGGUGGAGGAGGGAACCAGGGAGCAGCUGCUGGGGCAGGAGUACAGAGACACGGUGCUCAGGCUGAAGAACGACGGAGAGACCGAGGAAAACCUACAGAAGUAUAAAGAGGCUGUGAAGAAGCUUUUUAAUAUCUGAGGAACCAAAGUCAGCAGCCUGUGAGCUCCGUUUUAGGGAAUAUACAUGUACGAUUUCUUAUUAAAAAUGUGUUAGGGAAAACAAAAAUCUGUAAAGAGACUUUUCUUCCAUCAGUGACCCAUGCAUUGUUUCUAUUAUUUAGAUUUUUUGUUGUUGUUGUUUUCAA